rnacentral:rRNA from 1 species
UACGUAGGGGGCAAGCGUUGUCCGGAAUCAUUGGGCGUAAAGCGCGUGUAGGCGGCUCGGUAAGUCCGCUCUGAAAGCCCGGGGGCUCAACCCCGGGAGGCGGGUGGAUACUGCUGAGCUCGAGUCCGGAAGAGGAGUGUGGAAUUCCUGGUGUAGCGGUGAAAUGCGCAGAUAUCAGGAGGAACACCAAUGGCGAAGGCAGCACUCUGGGACGGUACUGACGCUGAGACGCGAAAGCGUGGGGAGCAAACAGG